ACAGCAGUCGCCGCGGUAAUACGUAGGUGGCAAGCGUUGUCCGGAAUUAUUGGGCGUAAAGGGCUCGCAGGCGGUCUCUUAAGUCUGAUGUGAAAGCCCCCGGCUCAACCGGGGAGGGUCAUUGGAAACUGGGAAACUUGAGUGCAGAAGAGGAGAGUGGAAUUCCACGUGUAGCGGUGAAAUGCGUAGAGAUGUGGAGGAACACCAGUGGCGAAGGCGACUCUCUGGUCUGUAACUGACGCUGAGGAGCGAAAGCGUGGGGAGCGAACAGGAUUAGAUACCCCAGUAGUCCCUGUCUCUUAUAC
rnacentral:rRNA from 1 species